rnacentral:rRNA from 1 species
ACGAACGCUGGCGGCGCGCUUAACACAUGCAAGUCGAACGGAAAGGCCUGCUUUCCCUUGUGGAUUGCGGGUACUCGAGUGGCGAACGGGUGAGUAACACGUGAGUGAUCUGCCCCCAACUUGGGUAUAAGCCUGGGAAACUGGGUCUAAUUCCCGAUAGGACUGCAGGGUGGUGCCUGUGGUGGAAAACGAUUUUCUAGUGGUUGGGGAUGAGCUCGCGGCCUAUCAGCUUGUUGGUGGGGUAAUGGCCUACCAAGGCGGCGACGGGUAGCCGGCCUGAGAGGGUGGACGGCCACAUUGGGACUGGGAUACGGCCCAGACUCCUACGGGAGGCAGCAGUGGGGAAUAUUGCACAAUGGGCGGAAGCCUGAUGCAGCGACGCCGCGUGGGGGAUGACGGCCUUCGGGUUGUAAACUCCUUUCGACCGCGAGGAAGCCACCUGGUUGGAAGGGUGGUGACGGUAGUGGUAGAAGAAGCACCGGCUAACUACGUG